rnacentral:rRNA from 1 species
GCUCGUAGUUGGAUUUUGGGCGCAGGCGGCCGGUCCGUCGCAAGGCGUGUACUGGCCGUCCUGGCCUCACCUCCGGUUCUCCGCCGGUGCCCUUGACUGAGUGUCGGCGGCGGCCGGAACGUUUACUUUGAAAAAAUUAGAGUGUUCAAAGCAGGCGAUUCGCCUGAAUAAUGGUGCAUGGAAUAAUGGAAUAGGACCUCGGUUCUAUUUUGUUGGUUUUCGGAGCGCGAGGUAAUGAUUAAGAGGGACAGACGGGGGCAUUCGUACUGUGCCGUUAGAGGUGAAAUUCUUGGAUCGGCGCAAGACGAACGACUGCGAAAGCAUUUGCCAAGAAUGUUUUCUUUAAUCAAGAGCGAAAGUCAGAGGUUCGAAGACGAUCAGAUACCGUCCUAGUUCUGACUAUAAACGAUGCCAACUAGCGAUCGGGGGGCGUUAGUUUUACGACCUCUCCGGCAGCUUGCGGGAAACCAAAGUCUUUGGGUUCCGGGGGAAGUAUGGUUGCAAAGCUGAAACUUAAAGGAAUUGACGGAAGGGCACCACCAGGAGUGGAGCCUGCGGCUUAAUUUGACUCAACACGGGAAAUCUCACCCGGCCCGGACACAGUGAGGAUUGACAGAUUGAGAGCUCUUUCUUGAUUCUGUGGGUGGUGGUGCAUGGCCGUUCUUAGUUGGUGGAGCGAUUUGUCUGGUUAAUUCCGAUAACGAACGAGACUCUGGCUUGCUAACUAGUUACGCGACGCAAUCGGUCGGCGUCUAACUUCUUAGAGGGACUAGUGGCGUUUAGCCACACGAGAUUGAGCAAUAACAGGUCUGUGAUGCCCUUAGAUGUUCGGGGCCGCACGCGCGCUACACUGACCGGAUCAGCAUGUGCUCGCCUUGGCCGACAGGUCUGGGUAACCCGCUGAACCCCGGUCGUGCUAGGGAUAGGGAAU